rnacentral:rRNA from 1 species
GACGAACGCUGGCGGCGUGCUUAACACAUGCAAGUCGAACGGAAAGGCCCUGCUUUUGUGGGGUGCUCGAGUGGCGAACGGGUGAGUAACACGUGAGUAACCUGCCCUUGACUUUGGGAUAACUUCAGGAAACUGGGGCUAAUACCGGAUAGGAGCUCCUGCUGCAUGGUGGGGGUUGGAAAGUUUCGGCGGUUGGGGAUGGACUCGCGGCUUAUCAGCUUGUUGGUGGGGUAGUGGCUUACCAAGGCUUUGACGGGUAGCCGGCCUGAGAGGGUGACCGGCCACAUUGGGACUGAGGGACGGCCCAGAGUCCUACGGGAGGCAGCAGUGGGGAAUAUUGCACAAUGGGCCGAAGCCUGAUGCAGCAACGCCGCGUGCGGGAUGACGGCCUUCGGGUUGUAAACCGCUUUCACCUGUGACGAAGCGUGAGUGACGGUACUGGGUAAAGAAGCACCGGCUAACUACGUG